rnacentral:rRNA from 1 species
AACGAACGCUGGCGGCAGGCCUAACACAUGCAAGUCGAGCGGACCCUUCGGGGUUAGCGGCGGACGGGUGAGUAACGCGUGGGAACGUGCCCUUUGCUUCGGAAUAGCCCUGGGAAACUGGGAGUAAUACCGGAUACGCCCUUUUGGGGAAAGAUUUAUCGGCGAAGGAGCGGCCCGCGUUGGAUUAGGUAGUUGGUGGGGUAAUGGCCUACCAAGCCGACGAUCCAUAGCUGGUUUGAGAGGAUGAUCAGCCACACUGGGACUGAGACACGGCCCAGACUCCUACGGGAGGCAGCAGUGGGGAAUCUUAGACAAUGGGGGAAAUCCUGAUCUAGCCAUGCCGCGUGAGCGAUGAAGGCCUGAGGGUUGUAAAGCUCUUGCACCGGGGAAGAUAAUGACGGUACCCGGAGAAGAAGCCCCGGCUAACUCCGUG